GACGAAGGAGGCUAGCGUUGUUCGGAAUUACUGGGCGUAAAGCGAGUGUAGGUGGUUGCCGUAGUCAGGUGUGAAAGCCUUGAGCUCAACUCAAGAAAUGCACUUGAUACUGGGCGACUAGAGGACCGGAGAGGAUAGUGGAAUUCCCAGUGUAGUGGUGAAAUACGUAGAGAUUGGGAAGAACACCAGUGGCGAAGGCGGCUAUCUGGACGGUUUCUGACACUAAGACUCGAAAGCGUGGGGAGCAAACAGG
rnacentral:rRNA from 1 species